rnacentral:rRNA from 1 species
GGUACCCAGUUCGGAUUGUAGGCUGCAACUCGCCUACAUGAAGUCGGAGUUGCUAGUAAUCGCGGAUCAGAAUGCCGCGGCGAAUGCGUUCCCGGGUCUUGUACACACCGCCCGUCACACCAUGGAAGUUGGGGGCGCCCGAAGUUGGUCGGGAAAUAGAUUACCUAAGGCGAAACCAAUGACUGGGGUGAAGUCGUAACAAGGUAAC